AACGAACGCUGGCGGCAGGCUUAACACAUGCAAGUCGAACGCACCUUUCGGGGUGAGUGGCAGACGGGUGAGUAACGCGUGGGAAUCUACCCUUCUCUACGGGAUAGCUCCGGGAAACUGGAAUUAAUACCGUAUACGUCCUGAGGGAGAAAGAUUUAUCGGGGAAGGAUGAGCCCGCGUUGGAUUAGCUAGUUGGCGGGGUAAAGGCCUACCAAGGCGACGAUCCAUAGCUGGUCUAAGAGGAUGAUCAGCCACAUUGGGACUGAGACACGGCCCAAACUCCUACGGGAGGCAGCAGUGGGGAAUAUUGGACAAUGGGCGCAAGCCUGAUCCAGCCAUGCCGCGUGAGUGAUGAAGGCCCUAGGGUUGUAAAGCUCUUUCAGUGGGGACGAUAAUGACGGUACCCACAGAAGAAGCCCCGGCUAACUUCGUG
rnacentral:rRNA from 1 species